CGGAGAGGGCCCAUUAGAGGCGGCUACCACAUCCAAGGAAGGCAGCAGGCGCUCAAAUUACCCAAUCCCGACGCGGGGAGGUAGUGACAAUAUGUAACAAUAUACGGCUUUAUUGUCGUAUAAUUGGAAUGAGUACAAUUUAAAUCCCUUAACGAGGAACAAUUGGAGGGCAAGUCUGGUGCCAGCAGCCGCGGUAAUUCCAGCUCCAAUAGCGUAUAUUAAAGUUGUUGCAGUUAAAAAGCUCGUAGUUGGACCUUGGGCCUGGACAGGCGGUCCGCCUCACGGCGUGUACUGUCUUGCUGGGCCUUUCCUCUUGGUGAUCUGUGGUUUCGGCCGCAGGGAACCAGGACCUUUACUUUGAAGAAAUUAGAGUGUUCAAAGCAGGCUUUACGCCAGAAUAUAUUAGCAUGGAAUAAUAAAAUAGGACGUGCGGUUCUAUUUUGUUGGUUUUUGGGAUCGCCGUAAUGAUUAAUAGGGACAGUCGGGGGCAUUAGUACUCACAUGCUAGAGGUGAA
rnacentral:rRNA from 1 species